GGUGUUCUAAAGUAGAGGCAAUGUUUUGUUAAAAAAAAAAAAGGCAGAGGCAAUGUGUCUUAUUAUGGGAAUUGAUACCUAAAGGGACCAAUGUCAUUCAAUGUUGAAAUUAUGGAUUAAGAACCCAAGAAACUCAUAAAUUAGUGGCAGGUAGAUAAUAGUUAAGUAGAGCAAUUUAUUAAUAAUAAAAAAGAACAUGGCAUAGUCAAGCUUUGUUAUGUAAUUUACCCAUAAGUUGGGUAAUGACAUUUUCUAAAUUUGAAGGGCUUUAAUUGACAAAUUUACAAUAUCAUGUUGGUUUUGCAGGCAUAUUUUGUAACUAACAUGGAGCCAAUCAAGUUUUGGUAGUUUGUCUCACUUGUUUUUAAAGGUCUUGUCCUUGUCUUUUCUAGGUAACUCUCGGCUUUGGGUGGUUGUUGAACGCUUGUGUGAUGUUAUAUAGAUUAGGUUGUUGAAGGCCUGGUGGGUUGUGUGGCUAUUUUGUUCCUAUGCUUUGUUGAAGUUCUACAUCAAGUGUAGUUCUACUUUGUUCCUCUGCUGUUGGUUUGAAUAAUGGGUGUGGUGUGUUUGUUGGGUGUGGCGGCUGCUGCUGUCGGAUAUAGAAGAAGUGUGGAAGCUACUGUAUUGAUGUAAUGUUUUGUUAGUGAUUUGAGUAGGACUAGUUCUCUUUGGGCAUGUGUAGGGUAGCAAAGCUGUGGAGCACAAAUGAUUUGAGUCUCGCUCAAGUAGAGAAGCCAUGGAAAUUAUGGUUGCUUGCUUUGCAAUGGCUUUAGCAAAAAGAGAACAAUAAAAAAGGAGGAAAUAACCAAUCACUGGAGAGCUCUUGGGACAAGUGGAAUCGUGGAGGUAUAAUAGGUGCAGCUGCAUUAACUAGAGGAACCUUAAUGGCAAUUACUAGUGAUAUGACAUCUUCAGCUUAGGCUUUUGAACAUUUUAAAUUCCAUAGGCGAACAAGCUUCUAAUGACAUGAGUGUUUUUUCCUAAUGAAUUCAUAUUUUAUUAGCAACGAGGUUAGCUGCUCUAGCUACUGUUGCGGGUUUAGGUGCCUUAGCACAUAUAUUGCGCACCCUCGUCCCUGUGAUAGGAGCAAGCGGGUUUGCUACAGCUGCAACUGUUGCCAGUAGUUUUGGAUAAUCUCUAAAUAGUUUUGGAUAUGUUUAAAAACCUAGAUAUGCACAAUUUUUGCUCUUUAUACAGUUUAGAACUUAAGGAUAUAGUUUUUGAAUAUUUGGAAUGUAUAGACAAUUGUUGAAUGUUCAUAAUUUAUGAAUAUAGUUUCUUUUUUAUGCUUGAAACAA